GAUGAACGCUGGCGGCGUGCCUAAUACAUGCAAGUCGAGCGAACAGACGAGGAGCUUGCUCCUCUGACGUUAGCGGCGGACGGGUGAGUAACACGUGGAUAACCUACCUAUAAGACUGGGAUAACUUCGGGAAACCGGAGCUAAUACCGGAUAAUAUAUUGAACCGCAUGGUUCAAUAGUGAAAGACGGUUUUGCUGUCACUUAUAGAUGGAUCCGCGCCGCAUUAGCUAGUUGGUAAGGUAACGGCUUACCAAGGCAACGAUGCGUAGCCGACCUGAGAGGGGGAUCGGCCACACUGGAACUGAGACGCGGUCCAGACUCCUACGGGAGGCAGCAGUAGGGAAUCUUCCGCAAUGGGCGAAAGCCUGACGGAGCAGCGCCGCGUGAGUGAUGAAGGUCUUCGGAUCGUAAAACUCUGUUAUUAGGGAAGAACAAAUGUGUAAGUAACUAUGCACGUCUUGACGGUACCUAAUCAGAAAGCCACGGCUAACUACGUG
rnacentral:rRNA from 1 species